rnacentral:rRNA from 1 species
CCUACGGGAGGCAGCAGUGGGGAAUAUUGGACAAUGGGCGAAAGCCUGAUCCAGCCAUGCCGCGUGAGUGAUGAAGGCCUUCGGGUUGUAAAGCUCUGUCGUGGGGGAAGAAGUUCUGACGGUACCCCACAAGAAAGCACCGGCUAACUCCGUGCCAGCAGCCGCGGUAAUACGGAGGGUGCAAGCGUUGCUCGGAUUUACUGGGCGUAAAGCGCACGCAGGCGGUCUGGAAGGUCGGGUGUGAAAGCCCGGGGCUCAACCCCGGAACUGCACUCGAAACCGCCAGACUUGAGGUCGAGAGAGGAGGGUAGAAUUCCUGGUGUAGAGGUGAAAUUCGUUGAUAUCAGGAGGAAUACCGGUGGCGAAGGCGGCCCUCUGGCUCGAUUCUGACGCUCAUGUGCGAAAGCGUGGGGAGCAAACAGGAUUAGAUACCCUGGUAGUCCACGCUGUAAACGAUGAAUGCCAGGUGUUGGAGGUUUCACCCCUUCAGUGCCGUCGCUAACGCUUUAAGCAUUCCGCCUGGGGAGUACGGUCGCAAGAUUAAAACUCAAAGGAAUUGACGG